UGACUGCCUGCAGGUAGCUGAUUGUUCUAGAGUUGUCCAAAAGCUAAGCCUUACUUGCUUGUUAAAUGCAAAAUCUCUAGAAGAUAGCAGACAGCAAGCUGCAAAGACAAGGACCCAAACAAUGGGCUGCUGGAAGAGGAUAAGCAACAACCAAUGGCAUCUCGUUCAUUCUGGGACAGGCUGAGGAACCGGCGGAUCAUGCACAGAUUCUCCCACAGCGUCCGGUUCUCUGGACUGGGUUCCUCCUUCCAACGCAGCAGCUCGCACAACCAUCCCUACAGGAAAUACGU